GACAAAGCAAGCUCAAGGCCAUCUUCUUCCACCUGUUCCAUGCAUUUUGAACCACUGGGAUCCAGGCACUCAGAGGAGGAAGCAAUGCCUAUGUCUGCGCUGGGAUCUGUGACUCCCUUUGGUUUGCUGUUCGGUGUUGUUCUUUUGUCCAGACAGACAUCAUGUCCCAGUUGGUUUCGUGGUACUGCAUUCCUCCGUGUUCUGAGAAAUACAAGACCAAAACAUGAGUUGUCUCCAGGAAACAAGUUUCGACAUGCAGCGUAAAUAUUACUACAACAAUAGAAAAGCUUGAACAGAGUCUCCGUUGCAUCAAGAGGACUGAAUGAUGGUAGUUCAGUACAAACCCAUACACAAGAAGCAGUACCAGGAAAGCCACUGAAGGAGUGCCUUGUGCUCCCUUGCUUCCUGUCAAGGAUGAGCUUGGGGUCGCGGCGGGAGUAGAACAUGCGGAUGAGGCCCCAGGUGCACCCAACAUUGUUCUCCUGGAUCUGUGUAGCGCGUCUCUGGCUCGUCUUCCCCAUUCUCUCGGUGGUUUUCUUCUAACUGCGCUCUGAAGCUCAAUUACCCGGCAGCAGUGUGAGUUGUUCGAUCAGUUCAUGGUGCCAAUCCUCUUGCAGCAAGCAAGCGUGGUGGCAGAAAAUUUCUGCACUCUGCUGCGGUUAGAUGAACAAACAAUUAGAGUUGGCUGCAAAUGACCAUGUUCUGAUUGGAACGGAGCUGGGCAUGCGAAACCGCCACCAGAGACAAUUUGUACUACCAUGUUUGUAAAACAAGACAAGAGUAGAACAAGAAUUACUUACCGACAAUCGCGACACCGCAGCAGGGAAGAAGAUGAAGAACCGUGGCUAGCUCCGAGCCGAGGAGGAGGAGGAGAUCACCACACAAGACUAGCCAGAGGAGUGCUAGGGAAGCAACCAUGAGGAGGGGGCCAUGUGAAGGGAUGCU